CUGUCCAUGGGGAGACUGGGCUGCCAAGGUCGACUGUGUGUCGGAAACGUUGCCGGCCAGCCCAAGGCACUCCCAAACUGCAGCAGCCGGCUGCAGAGCCCAGGCACUGGCUUGAGGAGCAGAGCGCCUGUUGCCAGAGGAAAUAACCUGCAAUAAAAAGCUGGUGGGCUCCCAGCCGGGGAUACCCAGUCCGUGACUGCUACGUGGUGAACUGUGCCGGAGCGAUGCAACUGGUGGCGUUUGGCUCCGAUGUGCCACUGUGAGAGCCCAGGCUCUGCCCCUGUGCCUGACACACCCUCUCCGCUUAGGUGCCAGCAGCAGAGCCAGUGCCCUGGUGCCCAUGUUGAUAACACAGGCAGACGAGGCUGGACCCAGCAGAGACGGGAAAGAACAGCAAGUCCGACAGCGGUUCAGCUGUUAACAGUUUGCCUCCAGCUGCAUCCACCUGGCAAAAUACUCCGGCUGCAAGCUCACGCAAGCUUCGCUGGAGAGGAGGGGAACUGAUGCGCCGAAGUCAGCUCUGGUAAUACAGGAUGGAAGCUGUGUCGGGAGAAAUUCACAGUUCUGAAUGCUGAAGACUUCAGAGGUGAACGACUGCCUCCCGGAGCACCCCCCAACUGUCCCAAAGGAGCAUCCAUGAGAAAGCCAAGCAGUGAGCUGUUGUGCAGUUCAGCAGACAGACACCCCCCCUACACUUUCCAGCGUUUCCAGAUUUGACCUGCUAACCUUUCAAAAUACAGUCUAAACAUCUGA